rnacentral:rRNA from 1 species
CCUACGGGAUGCAGCAGUGGGGAAUAUUGGACAAUGGGGGAAACCCUGAUCCAGCGACGCCGCGUGAGUGAAGAAGUAUUUCGGUAUGUAAAGCUCUAUCAGCAGGAAAGAAAAUGACGGUACCUGACUAAGAAUCCCCGGCUAACUACGUGCCAGCAGCCGCGGUAAUACGUAGGGGGCCAGCGUUAUCCGGAUUUACGGGGUGUAAAGGGAGCGUAGACGGCAGCGCAAGUCUGGGGUGAAAUGCCGGGGCCCAACCCCGGAACUGCUCUGGAAACUGGGAAGCUGGAGUGCAGGAGAGGUAAGCGGAAUUCCUGGUGUAGCGGUGAAAUGCGUAGAUAUCAGGAGGAACACCGGCGGCGAAGGCGGCUUACUGGACUGUAACUGACGUUGAGGCUCGAAGGCGUGGGGAGCAAACAGGAUUAGAUACCCGGGUAGUC